AUUGAACGCUGGCGGAAUGCUUUACACAUGCAAGUCGAACGGCAGCACGGACUUCGGUCUGGUGGCGAGUGGCGAACGGGUGAGUAAUGUAUCGGAACGUGCCCAGUCGUGGGGGAUAACGUAGUGAAAAUUACGCUAAUACCGCAUACGAUCUAUAGAUGAAAGCGGGGGAUCGCAAGACCUCGCGCGAUUGGAGCGGCCGAUAUCAGAUUAGGUAGUUGGUGGGGUAAAGGCCCAGCAAGCCAACGAUCUGUAGCUGGUCUGAGAGGACGACCAGCCACACUGGAACUGAGACACGGUCCAGACUCCUACGGGAGGCAGCAGUGGGGAAUUUUGGACAAUGGGCGAAAGCGUGAUCCAGCCAUUCCGCGUGCAGGAUGAAGGCCCUCGGGUUGUAAACUGCUUUUGUACAGGACGAAAAGGUUUCUACUAAUACUAGGAGCUCAUGACGGUACUGUAAGAAUAAGCACCGGCUAACUACGUGCCAGCAGCCGCCGUAA
rnacentral:rRNA from 1 species